GGCUUGUUGGCUCAGUUGGUAAGAGCGCCGUGAUUACAGCACGAAAGUCAUGAGUUCGAUCCUCAAUUUGCUCC
rnacentral:tRNA from 1 species